rnacentral:rRNA from 1 species
UACAUAGGGACCGAGCGUUGUCCGGAAUCAUUGGGCGUAAAGAGCGUGUAGGCGGCCCCUUAAGUCCUGCGUGAAAUCCUGCGGCUCAACCGCAGACGGUCGUGGGAAACUGGAGGGCUAGAGUGCGGGAGAGGAGAGUGGAAUUCCCGGUGUAGCGGUGAAAUGCGCAGAUAUCGGGAAGAACACCCGUGGCGAAGGCGGCUCUCUGGAACGCAACUGACGCUGAGACGCGAAAGCGUGGGGAGCAAACAGG